rnacentral:misc_RNA from 1 species
UCUCGGCUUAUCACCGGCAGUCCCCCUAGAGUGCCCAACCGAAUGAUGGCAAUUAACGACAAGGGUUGCGCUCGUUGCGGGACUUAACCCAACAUCUCACGACACGAGCUGACGACAGCCAUGCAGCACCUGUGUCUAGGUUCCCUUUCGGGCACACUCACAUCUCUGCGAGCUUCCUAGCGUGUCAAGGGUAGGUAAGGUUUUUCGCGUUGCAUCGAAUUAAUCCACAUAAUCCACCGCUUGUGCGGAUCCCCGUCAGUUCCUUUGAGUUUUAGCCUUGCGGCCGUACUCCCCAGGCGGAGUGCUUAACGCGUUAGCUACGACGCCUCCGGGGUCAAUACCAGAAACAUCUAGCACUCAUCGUUUACGGCGUGGACUAC